GCCGCAGUAGCUCAGCUGGCAGAGCAACGCAUUCGUAAUGCGUGGGUCGGCGGUUCAAAUCCGUCCUGCGGCACCA
rnacentral:tRNA from 1 species